rnacentral:rRNA from 1 species
UACAGAGGUCCCAAGCGUUGUUCGGAUUCAUUGGGCGUAAAGGGUGCGUAGGCGGCGCGGUAAGUCGGGCGUGAAAUCUCGGAGCUUAACUCCGAAACUGCAUUCGAUACUGCCGUGCUUGAGGACUGGAGAGGAGACUGGAAUUUACGGUGUAGCGGUGAAAUGCGUAGAUAUCGUAAGGAAGACCAGUGGCGAAGGCGGGUCUCUGGACAGUUCCUGACGCUGAGGCACGAAGGCCAGGGGAGCAAACGGG